GAGAGAGAGAGAGAGAGAGAGAGAGAUAGCAACAUAGUUGAUAAUGCAUCGAUGUAUAGUUGACCGGGAAAUAUGAUUGAAAAUCCAUUGAUUUUUGGUUGACCGGGAGAUCAACGGGUGGUAAACCAACGACACAAGCUCAUUUCUGGACCCUUGGCACAAGCGUAGCUACAGGUAAGCUUGCUUAAUGUUCGAUAUGAAUGAAUCAAAUACCGUUAGGCUGAUCGUUGUAGUAUAAUGAUUAGUCUAGUAACCAACGCAGUGCUGCAGCUAACGUUAGUCAUGAAAUAGAUUUUUGUUUUACUAAUGUGUUAAAAUCUUCCAAAAGCAGGCUAGCCUACUUCGUGGUUCUCUUUACAGUUAGCAAAACCUCAGAGUCCAGUCUAUUUUUAUAGCUAGCUCAAAAUACACGUCACUCGGUACCCAUUGCUAAUAGUGUCGGGAAAUCUAUUUUACAGUCACCGCUAUUUCUUCUGCCCGCCGGAAAACACUAUAAUAACAGUAUGCUCCAUCUAGCGCUAACGGUAACGUCCAUCAAGCUAGCCUGUUGGCGGCGCCGUGCGCUCAAACCUUUGAGAAAUCAUGGCUGAUUAGCACUACGUAGCCACCACCAAGGGCACGAAGUCAUGUCGUGCAUGUUUGAGCUCUAACGUUAACGUUACCCCACAGAAGUGACCGCGGCGGGCCAGAAUUACACAAAAUACAUGACUUACCUUAUUAUUCAAUGCAGAACUGUCUCGAGUUGUAACUGGAAAAGCCAACCAUCUCGUCGUAAUACAAAUCCAAAAUAUUAAAAAUCCUCGAGCAGGGCUGCAUAUGCGUGGGAUACAGUUUUGUAACUCCUGUUUGUCGUUUUAUAGACAAGUUUACGAGCCGUUUCGUGGGCGCCAUUCCUCUACAGAAAUGCAUUUCACUUCUGCCGGUGGUUUUCCCAGCGUCUGCCGGUGUAAACAGCGAUGUCGAUGCUAGUUUGGGAACACGGAUCUACGUAUUUGACUGAGAUGGCGUUACUAUCCCGCACCCCAAUCCAGUGCAGAACUGGGAGGAUAACAUGACAUCGUGGCCCAGCAUUACGUACAGCGAGAUUUGCUCAUACUUCGUGCAAUCGAGCAAUGGACAGUCUGAAAGCCUCCGAGGCAGUUCAGUAUCUGACAGCAACAAAGCCGGUUGUGUCAUGUCAUACAAACAUGACCGUUUUGUAUAUCUAAAAACAAAAGUACAUGUUUGCUCAGUGUAUGUGUUAAUAUAUUGGGCUAAUUUUGUUAUAAUUGCACAAGAUAAUUGUUUAUAAAUACAUUUUAUAAUCUAAUAAUGUCAACAGUUAAUAACCAAAUUAAUGUUAAAAGAACGUUCAGGAUAUUUUUAAUAAUUGUUUUAAUGUUAAUGUUAAGGUUAAUCUUUUUCACACAAGCCCAUGUCAGAUUGAUGUGCCUCUGUGUCUACAGGAAAUACACAGAAAUUAAAUAUCAAGUCAAUUUUAUUCCUAACAGGUAUUAAAAAGUAAAAUACAAAAGCAGCCCACACAAUUACAUCACAAUGAAAAUAUUCAUAUAUUAAAAGAAAAUAAAAUGCAGUAUUUGUUUAUCUGUAUUUAAUGAACAAGAUGACUAGGUGUUGGCAAGGCUCUAAACCUCACGAGGCACUCUGAUCAGUGGACUCUUCAGGUUAACUAGGCCAGCAUAGAUGGUUAAGAUGUUGUGAUAAACUUAUCACUGCUUCUGCCAGCAUUAUCACUAUUAUCACUUUGGCCUAGCUACUGGAUUGAUGUCAAAACUGAAAUCUUUGAUCCUUCCUGCCAAUUUGACGACAAUUAAGCUGCAGUUCAGUAUAGAUGGUUUACGGCUUUUCCGAAGGAGCAGAACUCAGUUCUGGCCCAUUCUAGCUACCAUUAAUGUUGAUUACAGAAAAUCGCCAUUCCUUGUCGGCCUUUUCUGUGGCUUUACCAAACCAAAGAGUGUCUUUGAGUUCUUAGGUCCAUUUAUUGAGGACCUGAGUGGCAUUCUAAAAAAUGGCAUUGUUCACAAUAGGCAGCAGAUUAUGGCAGAAGUGUGCUCAUUUAUAUGCGAUGCCCCAGCAUGAGCUUUUAUUAAAAAUAUAAAAAGCCACAAUGGUUAUUCAGGCUGCGACAAGUGUUUUCAAGUGGGUGAAUGUCACAACAAAAUGACAUAUCCAGAAACAAAUGUUAGAUUGAGGACAGACACAGACUUCAACUCCAUGACCGAUGAUGAACACCACCAAAACCAAACACUAUCCCCACUAGCUAGUAUGAUCAAAAUGGUGACAAUGUUCCCAUUAGAUUACAUGCACUUGUGCUGUCUUGGGGUAACCAGGAAGUUCCUAUAUAUUUGGAUGAGGGGCAAAUCACUGGCAACUAGGUUGUCAAGUAAAUCAAUUGAAGAGAUUUCCGUUAAAUUGAAGGGACUUAAGACCCUACACUCCUUCUGAGUUCAGUCGGAAACCCAGGCACCUCUCUGAAAUAGAUCGGUGGAAGGCUACAGAGCUUCGAUAUUUCAUGCUUUAUGCUGGCCCAGUAGUCCUGAAAAAUACCAUUGCCCUUGAAAUUUAUGAAAACUUUAUGUUACUUUCUGUGGCCAUGCAUCUGCUGGUGUCUCCUGGAACAUCAGAGGAAAUGAUAGAUUGCGCUCAGAGAUUGUUAACUUCAUUCGUAACUCACUUUGGGCAGCUAUAUGGGAAAGGUGAAAUCACCUACAAUGUCCAUCAUCUAACACACUUGGCAUCAGAAUACCGUCUGUUUGGUCCCUUAGACAACAUAUCUGCAUUUCCUUACGAGAAUUAUUUAGCGCAACUGAAACACCUAUUGCGCAAGCCUCACUUGCCUUUACAGCAAGUAGUUAAAAGGCUCUCAGAAUCACCUGAUCCGACCUUGGACACAGUGAAGAAAGGACAAAAAUUCAUGCAUCCUCAUUAUGAUGGUCCAUUAAUCUCUUCAUUAAGUUGUGGAGACCAGUACCGUAAGCUUGUCACAGAAAAGUACACAUUAUCAUCUUGUUCUGGGGAUAAUUGUUUUCAAAUUGUAGAUGACAUUGCCAUUGUUGAAAACAUUGUCAAGGUAGGUCAGGAGACUUACAUAAUUUUUCGAAAGUUUACCAAAAAAGAGUCCUAUGGCCAGUAUCCCUUUCCUUCGGCAAACAUUGGGGUAUAUACAGUUUGGGGGUUGUGCAAGUAUGUCGGUGUGACGAGGCUUCAGCACAUUGGCAAAAAGUACAUACUUUAUCCUGACAAAACACAGUUGAUUGCCAUUCCCAUCAUUCACACCAAUUAAAAUGUCCAAAUCAGUUUAUAAGUACAUUUCUUUUUUUUUAGAGUCUUUGAAAAAAUUAAAAAAUGUCCAGAUGGUGCGUUGUGCAGUUCAGCAAUGGUGCAACAGAAACUGUGCCAAACACAUGGGUGGAAGGGGAUAAAGUCUUCUGGCCCCCAUACCCUCCUAAGGACUCUAUUAGGCUGAAUGCAGCCAUCCUGAACAGAGAACAGCCUGGACAGGGAUGGCACACAUAUCAACCUAUCCGGCUCCUCAUAACUCGUGGUGGGUGUUCUGGUAUAAGAAUCUGAAAUAUGCUUGAAAUAUGUCACUUGGCAUGCAAUGAGUCUAUAUAAUAUAUUAGUUUAACAUUUUAAGUUGAAUUCCUGAAAUAAAUGAACUUUUCCACAAUUUAUUGGGAAGCACUAGUAUUUCUCCUGACUCCGACAGUACUUGACUGAUUAUGCUUGUAGAUAGCCAUGAUGAGGCAGUGAGGAGCCUGGACAGAUAUGUGAAUAAAGACUGUGACACCACUGACAUCCAGUCUGAGGAGGAGAGCCACCAUGGCCUAAAAAGAAAAAGAAGACCAAAUCCAUUGUAUCAUUCCGAUGAGGAGCCCCAGAAUGAGCGGAGAUUCGCCCAAGCCCCCAAAGUUUUACUUCCAGCAAUCCAACUAGCCAGUCAGGACAGCCAACCACCACCACCUCCACGAAUACAUCAAACCCUCCAGUGCCCCAAUUCCCCCAUGUGUUCUUACCCCAAUGUCCCAGCAUUGUUCCCUGGAGAUGAAUUGGCGUUCUCCCCCAUGAAUUUACUCCAGAGGCCAUCUCCUGAAGAUGUGGCCAUGCAAAAACUUCUUACUGCAGUGACAGAGUUGUCCAAGGAGGUGAAGGACCUGCGAGAGGAGUUCAGGCAAUUCCGCCAGUCCUGCAAGUGUGGACAGUCGGAGUCUGUGGGACGGCCACUGGCGGAGCCCUUGGAGCUGCCCCUCCGCACUAUGGAGGCCCUGGACCGUAAGAGAUACUGCUAAACAGCACAAACCGCCAGGCAAUGGUAGUGGUUUAAUAGUUACAUUAUUCUUCUUUCAGAAAACUUCACUGAUAUGCACAACUUCCUUAAACUGCCUGCCAGUCAUGACAGUAGACUAAUGGGUUAAUUUGUAUUGAACCUUAAUCUCAGUAAUUCCACGUUUCACAUUUCAAUAUCUCCUAAAAACUGCUGUUGUUUCAGUACACCUUUAUCAAUCCAAGUUACAUUCAGACUGAAAACAAAUAAUUAUGCCCAGACCAAAUUGGCUGAAAAUGAUGUUCAAUCAUUGAAACACUGGGUAUUUGACAAAAGCAGAAUGAAGAAAUCCAAGACCCUGAGUGUUUUUUACUCUGGAGUUACAUAUACUACAUGCGUUGCUUCAUAUUUGUUGUUAUCAAACAUGGCUGAAAGCAAACGAAGGAGCUGGCGAAAAAGAUUGGUGCAACAUCCAUUAUUUGUACUUUAUUAUUUGGACGAGCAGCAGCAAACUAUAGACAGAGUGUGUGGAGCAACAGUUCGGUAACACGACUAAUCUAUUCUACCACCUCAAAUUCAAAACAAAACCUAUUACUGAAUACCAGCGCGCACGUAUUAUUCACAAUCUAACUUAGUUGUUUAACUGUUAGCAUAUAAUCUCUGUCUGCUCCUGAUUUUAAGAAUCGUUGUGUUGCUUUUUAAAUGGCAAAAACAUCGUUUUUUCUGCUCUUUGCAUGUUUUGUGUACAUUAAGAAAACAGGCUAACUAAAACUACAUUUGGUUGAACUAUUUUGCACUUUUUACUGUCUAUGGCAUGGCGCUAAGUGAUAUAUUUUGAGCCUUAUAAUUUUGAUGAUUAUGGCUUACAGCUUUUCACAAUAUUCUCAUUUUAAAUUUGGGGUUUCAUAUGCUCCAAGCCGUAAUAUAAACAUUAGGCCUACUUAAGUCUCUGCAGCUAGUGUACUUACAUUUUAUUUAACUGCAAAAUUACGUUUUGCGCAAUAUUUGUUUUCAAAACUACAUACACCCUUUCUUUUUUACAUACAUUUAGCAGUUGUUUAGCAGGGUCUGUGUAACCUGUUCUGAAAUGGUUUUAUUAUAAUUUAUAUUGCGAUAUAUAUCGUUAUUGCAAGAGGCUGCAAUGUAUAUCGCAAUAUGGAUUGUAGGCCAUAUCGCCCAUCUCUAAUUGAUAGCCUAAUAUUAGUUGAUAAUAACAUAGGUCUACCUAAUGUAGUACGGACGGUAACAGUACGGUAGUAAAACCUUUUACUGUCUAUGAGUAGAACAGCUUUCUCAAGCAGUUUGUGACGCAUUUUGUAAACAGGAGAUGAGCCCCUGUUCUAAUGCGCCACCUGGCUUGAGAAACCCAUUCUCAAAGACCUGAAUGUAACGUCGUUGGAUCUAGGAAUAUAUUGGCAUGAUCAAAUGUAAAUCCAGUCUGCAUGUGUUAAUGCUGCAAAUUUGUUAUUUUUGUUGCCAGACCGCUCGUCUCAUCACUAUUGGAGGUGAGGGUCCGCCGUAUGAUGGCACACCUGUUGUCAAAUGAACUGGCUUCUGGACUGAACUGGGCUGGAAAAAAGAACAAGGAGCCUACAAAACAAAAACGUCCGUUUAAAGAGUUGGCACUCUGCCGAUCUAUGUUUGGUAAGUCCUGUUCCAUUUUCAAUCACCAUUAUAUUAUCAAUCUUAUACCUCAAGCCAAAAAGGGCAUAAUGCACACCCAAACUCACCCCAUGCAGCAUCAAGAAUCUUAGCACAAAGUUAACACAAUAAUCCAAUAGAAACCUCCGCAUUCAGUGACUUCAGUAACAGUGUUUUAUAAUUGUUAAAAGGAUUAGUUCACCUCAAAAUGAAAAUUUCCUGAUAAAUUACAAUGCCAUCCAAGAUGGUAAUGCCGGUCUUUCUUCAGUUCCACACAAGUUUGCGAUGCUGUUAGCGAAUGUUCAUUAGAACGAUGGUUUCAGGAAACACCGAAUUGUUGAACUAGGCUGAUAAUGACAGAACUUGCGACCAUAGUUGGCUAACAAUGCUUUCAGGAAACGCACCCCAGGGUCGGCUCACACUAGCUGGAAUAGGUAGAUCUACACAUUCACAUCUUACUUGUUGCAUGCGCAAAUAAUGAUACACUAAUACAAAAGAAAACAUUUGUAUUCACAAAUUCUCUAUUUGUACAAAAAUAAUAGUAAAACAUAUCUGCAACAUUUAUCAAGUUCAUGAAUAACAUUAGGCUAAUUGUGCGUGCACGUGUUAAUAAUGUGUAGCAUAUACUAUAUUGAUCCCAAAGGUAGGCUUAUAAUAACAUAUAAAUUACCACCCACCCAGCGAUAAGGCAGCAUUAUGUUAACAGCUGCCCUAUGGUGAGGUAACGUUAGGCAACGUGCUAUGUGCUGACAGGAAUUGGAGCAUGCGUUGCCUGGCUGACCAUUUGAGUUUGUAUUAUUAUUAUUUAGAGAAAUUUGGAACUAGACCACAGGUAACUUACAGUCCAAGUGAGUUAGCAAUAUCAUUUGUAUAACAGUAACUUACCUUUGGUUAGUAGCCAGAAAGGUUUGUCGUGAAGAAAUGUCAGAUGUCGAUCCGGAAUGGUUGCCAGAUGCCAGCAAGGUUUUCCAGCCCAAAACCUUGUCAAAACCCGAAUGCAAUGGUUGAACUCGAGAUGCAAAUGCACAAAAAACUGCACACCAAAUUAUUUUGGCUUGUUUGUCGUUUUAAACGCAUUGAAAAACGCGGCAACUUUUCUGCAUCCUCUUUAUUGCCUCAGUCAGCAGCUGCCUUUUUCGUUUUCAAACUGGUCGCACGUGAAACGAAUGACCCUCCGCUAAGCCACGCCCAAAAACAGUCACUGGCCAAUCGUGGUGUAGCAACAGUAACUAAGGAGAGCGGGGCUUGCGUACCGGUAUGUAUGUGCAGAGCGCAAAAUUAAGUUUAAUGGUUAAAUGAAAUAAAACAACGAGGGCGCGCCCCGUGAAUAAACAGAAACAGCGUAUAGGCACUAUCAUAACAUAGCCUACAUGGGAAAUAUAGCUAUAUAGGCCUAAAGCAUGUACAUGUCCACUUAAAAAAAAAAAGCAUAAGCAAAUAGGCUAUCAUCUGAUUAUGUAAACUAAGAAAGAUGCAUUCCUCUCUUUAUUAAAGGCGCAUCAACUUUACAGUGCAGAUGAAAACAGUUUAUAAUAAAUAAUUAAAGUGCCUCGUUAAUUUUAAAGACAUAGGCUCGCUUAUUUAUUAUUAGUAUUUUUGCCUGUUUUUGCAGUAGACUGCAGAGAACAUAGACUUAAAAACAUAAAGAGAGACGUAGCCUAGGCCUAAACAUGCGCUCGAGCACUUGCUAUCCCUCCGUGCACCCAGUUAACUUAAGCAGAAAUGAAUAUUUAAUUAUAAUGAUAUUCAUAUUUUGUCUAUGGUAACUCUAUUCAAUACAUUUACUAUAUUUAAUUAGUUAUAAUAUAUUUGUUUUAAAUUUGUUCAGUUAACAAUUAGUUCUGAACUAAUAAAAUAAUAAACAUGCAUUUCACUUGGCCUCUUAAAUUUUCCUUAUGAAAGAUGUUGCAAGAUAAUUUCCCUCUCUUUAAUUCAAAUACAUCCAUGAACAUGUUGGGCAGUUUUGAAAAGUGCUUUGAAUGUAGGGGAAACAUAGGCUAGCCUACUUAGGCUAUCCAAUCAUUGAAAAAUCAUAGGCCUAUAAGAGGUUACUGUUGUUCCAAGUGGUCAAAUAUGUGUUCUGUUUAACUUAAAUGCUAAUUGAUUUGCAUUGUGAUUUUAUUUUUUUGUUUUAGAUGCGCUUACUCAGCAGAUGGGGGCAGAUGCCGUCACCCAAUUCAAUUUUUCCCAAGCUGUGCAAAAGUGGCUGCGCUAUGCGCCAGACCGGACAGGAGGGACUGGACGACAAAAUAAUCAGGCGUCAGAGGACAUUGAAGAGUAAAUAAAGAGUACAAAUAGUUAAAUAAAAAGGCUAAGGUGUGUUCAUUGUUUUAUAGGCCGAUUUCAAAUGUUCCAUUAGCCUACUUAACAUCCUAGCUGUAGAUAAAGCAGGCUAUUUAAUUUAUGGCAUUUAAAAUUAACAUUUAAAAACGAUUGAAAUUCCGUUGAAAUAACGUUGAUCCUUAGUUCAGUUGAAAUUUCAACAGUGUUUCAAUAUUCCUUUAAAUUGAAAUACCAUUGAAAUUCCGUUGAUCUAUGGACAGGAUAUCAACAUUGUUUCUGUUGAGUUGAGUUGCAGACCGAGCCCCUCUCUGGCUGGGAGGUAGGUUUAGGUGUGUCUCUCAGGCUGGAGGCGGAGAUUUUAAUGCACCAGGUGGAGAGGAUCUGGCGAUCAGGGGGGUUGGAGGCACUCACUCACAGGACAGUGAAGAGCGAGCAGUGUGAGAAAGCGAGAUUGAAGAGCUUGGAAAGAGGAGACUGCAGGAAUAAAGCUAAAGACUGAAGAAGGAGCCGGUGAGCUUUUGAGUGGCUGACUACUUAUGGCAUCAAAUGCAAGAUCAAAUGUCCAUAUAUUUAAUGUGUGUUUUAAAAAGUAUUCAAGCUAAAAGUAAUUGGAUAAAACUUGAUUUGUGUGUAUUCAGCGGAGUUAAAAGCUGCUAAAGUUUAUAAGGUUAAAAUCAUUAUUAAAUAGUGUUUUAAAAAUGUAUUUAAUUUAGUCUUGGGAUACUUUAAAUUUGGGUUGUCUUUCUACUUAUUUUUUAGGUUAAUUUCCAGUAGAUUAUAAAUUAAGUAUGUGAUGUUAGGUAUGUGAAUUGAUUAUGGUUUCUUGGGUUAUAUUUCUUUGACCUUCCAUUAGUGUUUGUAUUUCAAGGUUUUUCACCUGGUUUGACCUGGACAAUUUUAAAAAUAAAAAGCAAGAAAGCAAAGAAGUCCGAAUCUUGGUCAUUGAGUGGAAUCCAGUCUACACUUCUUAGCAAGUUGCCCUUUCAAGUGGAGAGCUGCAGUUUGAACCUCACAAAAGUGAGACACUUGACAGUUUCAAUAUUAAAUCAGGGUGCAAAAUGAUGUUGAAUCAACAUCAGAAUUCGACGUUGAUUCAAUGACUUAAUGUUGACAAUGCAAUGUUGAUUUAACAUUGUUUCAAUGACUGUUUGCUGUCUGGGAACACAUUCAGGGAUUGCACUUUCAAUCAUAAAGAUAACUAUAGAUCAAUGUUGUUCCAAUAUUGUUUCCAUCAACAUUAAUAACAUCAGGUUUUCAUCGAUAUGGUAAUGGUGAUUCAACGUUUAUUUUGCACAAUGUUUAUUCAAUGUUGGAUUGCUGUCUGGGAAUAGAUAUACGAAUACACAUAUACACUAUGUCAGAUAUUAUUAAUAUAAUUUUAAUUAUAAUCACAUUUGAAGAAAAUCCACUAACUUCUUUCAGCUCUUGAACCUCAAUGAGUCAGACGUCAGGGAUUUCACUUAACAAACAAAAAACAUCCACAUCCUGCACGGCAACUAGUGAAUGACAGAUUUGUAUUGGACAGAAUGUACAGAGCUGACAGCGAUUGGCUAACAAACAAAAACACGAACCCAGAUACUCGCGCGCGUCAAAUCCAAAACCGUGAGGUGACAAGCACUCGGGCAAUGACGUCACAGGCUCUGAGCCGUGCAGUACACACCCAUAAUAAAGAGGAGGUCGGAAAAAAGCAUAAAACAUCUGACGGGCUAAAAACUCGGUGGUCCGGUCAAAAUCUCCGAGAUGUGAGAAUUAGAGAGAAACGGACAGACAUAAAUUGCUUUACUAAUUAGCUCAAGUCAUCUGUUUAUGUAACAUUAUGUGCAUGAGCCAGUGGCAGCUAGCGCAAAUUAGCUAGCACUAUGCUAGAUGGCACAAUGCUAGCUAGUGCAAUGCUGGCUAGUACCAUCCCAGGUAGCAAACUGAAGCAGUAGCUAUGUCUCAAUACGUGGCCGGGGUCCUCCAACAACCGCAUAGGCUGAACCGAGCGAUCCCUGAAAUAGAUCCGUCUGUCCUACGUGAAGACUUCCUGUUUGCGUCAUCGGCUUCCCCUCCGCUUCUCCCGUUGCCUAGCAACCGGCAGCAAUUGCCAGUAAAAGCAGUGAAACACCUAAACAUGUACAAAAUACAGCUGAAGAAGGAUAAUACUCUUCUUAUUUAAUUUAAUUUAGGAAGAUAUGCUUCUCCUCCGGACCAUGAUAUAGUUCAGGCUGAGAAAAGAACAUUUCUGUUUUUUAAAAUUAAUUAAAUCAGUUAAGCCAUGAACUAUUAUCUAAAAGUAAUAUUAAUAAUAAAGAAGAGGUUGGAAAAAAGCAUCAGAAAGAAAGAGGGGAGGAAUGGAAAAAGGAGGGAAGGAAGGGAGAGAGGGGAAGGAAGGAAGAAAAGAGGGGAGGAAGGGAGAGAGAGAGGGGAGAAAGAAAGAGGGUCAGGAAGGGAGGGGGGGAAAGAGAGAGAGGGGGAGAAAUAGACGGACAGAGUGAUUAACAGUGAGAAGGCAUCGAUGCGUUUUUUAUGUCUGUCCGUUAAUAAAUACGGCUCCUGUUGAAGUUUACAAAACGUGUACCUUCUGGAUUUUUUGAGAAAUAUGUCGGCAGAUUUGUAUUGGAGCCUAUGGGGCUUUUAGCAGAGGUUGUGUGACCGUUGGUCUCCGUAGGCCAAAACUAAAGAACUCUGGGAUUCUAUGAGCACAUUAAUCCAAUCAGCACAGCCAUGUCCCCAUUAAUCUGAAGAAAUGAAGCCUCUAGAGUGUACACUUUGGCUGCAAGGACUGAAGUUCCAUAUUUUUUUAACCAGAUUCUGACGCUGCCUCACACUCUGAUCUCCGGGUCUCACUCUAGCAGACGCAAUACACACUCAUGUAAAAGUCAGAAACGGAGCGAAGAACUAGUGAAACAUAAUCAGUGAUUAUGAAAAAAGUAGAAUAGAUAUCAACAAGCUGUUUGUUUCGUGAAAUAGUUGAGACUUGUGUCAACAUUUGAAAGUUGAAAUGGUGUCUGUAGCUGAAAGAUUGGCGGAGCUGAAAAAUCUGAAAGUUGAAGAAGUUUAAGAGGAUUUGAAAACAAACUCCAUUGGAAAACCAUGUGAAGAAAUAUUCAUGAUUACUGAUUCAUAUAAAUCCAAGCUUAAAAGGUAGAAAGCUCAAAAGUCAUAGCUAGAAAGCCAGAAAGGAGCUGAAUAUUUUAAAAUGUGAACGGUUUUAAUAGCUGAAAGUGUGGAGGAGUUGAAAGGUGCAACGGAAGAAAUAGAAGAAGAAGAAGAAGAAGGCGGAAUAAAGAUUCGAAGAACAAUACUUGAAUGGUUAAUGCAUUCCAACAAUAAAUUGAUUUUGUAUGAUUAGUAACCAGGCACUAAAGCGAUAACACAUAAAACGUGCUUUGAACCAAUCCGAUUGCUUGGGUCCUAAGCUCGGACUCAUCUCUUCAGUAGGACUAAUUUGUUCACCACACCGUCUCUAUGGUUAGAAUCCUGCGUGUCCAUGGCAACGCUCUGCUUUGCAUGGCAACGCAGCGCUUAAAAAGGGGUGGGGCUACAUAAACUCUAUAAGCAAGGAAUCUGUCUGUAAGGAGUCUAUGUAUGUAUAUUAGCUGUUAAGGUCAGUGAUGGAGAGGGACAGUUUGAUGAUGACCCCUUCAGUCAUAUUGAUGAGGAGGGAGAGAAGGAGGAGCAGCAGGAGAGAGAAGGAGGAGAAGAGAGGAAGAGGAGCAGUAGGAGGAGAGAGAAGGAGGAGAAGAGAGGAAGAGGAGCAGCAGGAGAGAGAAGGAGGAGAAGAGAGGAAGAGGAGCAGCAGGAGGAGAGAAGAGGUGGUGAAGAGAGGAAGAGGAGCAGCAGGAGGAGAGAGGAGCAGGAGAAGAAAGGAGGAGCAGCAGCAGGAGGAGAGUGGAGGAGGAGCAGCAGCAGGAGGAGAAGAGAGGUAGAGCAGGAUCCAGGAAACAGACUGGUAGAGGGGCAGUGUGCAGGGCUGGGUGGGCAAUCAUAUUAGGCAUAUCAAUCAAUCAAAGCUUUAUUAAGGACACGCACACAAAAAUAGAAAAAUAAAGCACAAUGUUACAUAUGUUACAUAUUUACAUAUAGGAUAAAAUGCCGAUAGUUCCACAUACUAGAUAAUAACCUGACUGAAGCACAGAUUGAAUUACAAAAUGUAUUAUUCUUUGCCAUAUUUAUUACUCAUGUUCUUCUCAUGCAUAUGUUAUGUAGCUGUACAAUCCGUAAGCAGAUGCAGGGUCCAGCAUAGGGGAAGCUGAGGCAGGGAGAGUUGAAAGUGAGUACAUACACACACACACACACACACACACACACACACACACACACACACACACACACACACACACACACACACACACACACACACACACACAAUCUCUAUUGUAUGGAACUGAAUUGUAAUUUUUGAGUAUGAGUGGGUGUGAGUAUUUGUAACUAUUUUAACACUCCGACUGACUAUACACAUGACAUGAUGGUAGUUAGCAGUAUACUGUGUGACUUAUGUGUUUGAGAUUAGGUUUUGCUGACCUGGUUGUGUUCAGUGCAGUGGUGACUUGCUUAUAGAACCUGAGGAGGCAGGUGUUAUCCUAAAGUUUCUUGAAGGUCUUUAGCGUAAUCUGAUUGUCUUUAUACCAUAAAAACACUAUUAGAAUGAAAAUAACUGCAAAAAAUCCUGCUCGUGCACCAAGGGCAUUCGCAUAAAAGGCCUCUCCGACUUAGUCCCGGGCUGAAUUUCAGUCCCAGUACAUCCCUGGGUUGAUCCAUACUGGUUGUACACGGCGCUCAAGGCGCUCUGCCAAACAUGCCAAAGCUCAUCUACGACGGCGAGAUGCUGGACGGCGAGAUGCUGAGCGGCGCUCAAGCGCGUGAGAUAUGGAGCUUGUUUCAGGGCGCGUCGGAGAAACAAAGCUGUCGUUCUCGGCGAGCACUUCAUGAGAUUAAAGAGCGAGAGACGGCGCCCUUUUCUUUACAGUAGCUGAACCAUCUUAACGGGGAAAUAAGUUAUUCUAAAAGCAGCCGAAGAUUUAAGGCGUGGAUAGCGAGGGGGGCGGCGGGAGCGGACGCACCUCGCAGCAUCGAUCGGACCCUGAAAGCACCGUCUCCACCUUACUGUCAAAAAGAACAGCGAGCGCGUAGAAAACCCCUUCGAGCGCGAGCAGAGAUUCUCCUCGCGAGCAACGAAGUUCACGUUUCGCAAGCAAGCAAAUACCUCGCCGAGACGAACUUGCUCGCGGAUGUUUGAUUUUGGUUAAAUUCUUAAGGUCAUUUAAUCAUUAUUACAUUAUGUGACGGGUAGUAUCAAGGGGUCGGACUGACGUCAUCAGGUUUUACCGGCCGAGUGGAGUCCCUUCGGACGUCGUUGGGGAGGGUUCAGCUCCUCAGCCUUUCCAGGUGGCGCACAAACUGCUGUUUUGCCGUAUCCGGGUACGAGUAGCGAUUAGCAAUUGUAACCAGCUGAUAUCAUAACAUUGUAUGCGUCCUGCGCUCCGGUUUUUAUUUCGGGUACUUGCCUACUGUUAUUUUCAUUCAUUUCGAGCGGGGGGUGCCCGUUAUGUGGAGAGAUAGUGUGGGUAUUUUCAUAGAUUAGAUUUUAGCAUGUGGUGUGAUAUUGCAUGAACUGUUUUUAACGCACUUUGUUUUGCCGUUGCGUGAGUGAGUUGCUGUGUGUGUGUGUGUGUGUGUGUGUGUGUGUGUGUGUGUUGCAUGUUUAUAGGUUGCACGGGUGAUUAGAUGUACUGGGAGAUUCGCUGCCUCCACACAGACGCUCGCCCUACCCUCACCGUGGUUAGGGACCCGGGCAAGUACACAGAUUGUUCCGUGAUAAACUGUCAGUCAAAUUAGAAUAGUUUUACGGUGUUUGUUUUUACUGAUGUACUGAUAAAUUAUUGUUUUGUACAACAAUAUGAUCUCUGUUCCUUGAGUAAACCGAACCUGUAUUUUUCAGUCCGGCUCGAGGACUUCCCCCUCUUAUGAUAAAGAAAAGACCCUGGUGUUAUCCCAGUACUUAGAAGUAAAACAGCCCCUCCUCCCGCCCCCCUACUUGGUGUCACAUUUGGUGUUGCUGGCAGGUCCAAGGACAGAGACAUAUUGCCAAAGCAAUUUUGGAAUGUAUGUUUGUAUAUACCGUGCAGCUGUUUCCCUAUAGGGUCCAUACAUUUGUUGAUAGGCUUGUGUUUGGUGUAUUGUGGAGCAAAAACAGCAGUUUGUGUGCCGGAGGACCCCUAAGACAACGCUUCCAGCAGUUUUCGGAGAAGACACGGUGUUAUCAUGGACGAGGAGAUGCAAGAACUUCGGGAGAUGGUGCAAAGGUUGAAGGCAGAUAAUGAGCGGCUGUUACAGGAAAGACAGGCCCUUAACCCGGUCCCGGGCUCCUCGACCGCACCUCCCUCUGUCAACGAUGGUAGUCCUGACUCUGCGCAAAAACUCGAUACUCUCGGUAUGGAAACCCUACCAGGUCGCCACCCGUUGUUGAGCGUGUGGUGUACAUUCCCAAGGAUAAGUGUUCCACCUUUACAGGAGAAGGGGAGGUAUCAGUGAGGGAAUGGGUGGAUGAGGUGCAGUCAAAAUUACGCACACAUAGGAUGUCUAUUGUAGAACAGGCUAAUUUAAUUUAUGACCAUUUAGGAGGAUCAGCAAGAAAUGAGAUUUAAGUAUCGUUCUAGACAGGUCAGGAAGAUCCCAAACUAUUUUUUUCCAUCCUUCAGACUCAGUAUGGCUGUGCAGACUCACCUACUUUAUUGCAGAAUUUCCACUCUCAGAAACAGAAAGAAGAGGAGACAUUGCGUGAGUAUGCAAAUGCGCUAUUCUCUCUAAUGGAUAUUGUUAUACAACAUUCUCCUGACGGAGUUGCACAGGCAGCUAGCCUCUUACGUGAUCAAUAUGUUGAGUUUGUGUCGGAUGGGGGCGGCACGGUGGCGCGGUGGUUAGCACUGUUGCCUCACAGCAAGAAGGUCCUGGGUUUGAUUCCGCCCAGUGGCCUUUCUGUGUGGAGUCUGCAUGUUCUCCCCGUGUCUGCGUGGGUUCUCUCCGGGUUCUCCGGCUUCCUCCCACAGUCCAAAGACAUGCUCUGGGGAUCAGGUUAAUUGGGGACUUUAAAUUGCCCGUAGAUGUGUGAAUGGGAGUGUGAAUGGUUGUUUGUCUCUGUGUAGCCCUGCGAUUGGCCGGCGACCAAUCCAGGAUGUACCCUGUCUAUCGCCCGAAGUUGGCUGGGAUGGACUCCAGCCCCCCCGCGACCCUGUGUGCAGGAUAAGCGGUUUGACAAUGGAUGGAUGGAUGGAUGUGUCGGAUGGCAACCUUAGCCGUGCGCUGAAAGAACUUGUUCGUAUUAACCCCGCCUAUGAUCUCCAUGAUAUCCGUGAUGCAGCCGUCCGAUUGGAGCGAGAAGGUAGACCACGAGAAGGGAGGCCGAGAAGCUAUUCAGUCCCGUCGGUUUAUAGCAUCCAUCAGGGUGCUUCAGGUAGACCCGAAUGCAUGGGCCCCCAUGCCACUUUGAAGGCAGAGGUAGCCAAGCUACGGGAAAUGCUAAAAAGUCAGUGUUGGGGGAAAAUUGUUGAGCCUGCGUGGGGUGAGGCUCUCAGGAAUGUGACCUUUGAUGUGAGCCGGUGACUUAAGGCAGUCCAGGGUGAGAUAAGACACAGAUGAAAUCAUAUGUGCCCUGACUGACCUUUUAGAUGUUGAUUGUCUGGGUCCAUAAAGGGAGGGUCACGGGGUCACCCCUACAUCAUCUGGUACUUUUCCAACACUCCUCUUGAGGGGUGGGCUCUCCUGUCCUGAGGCAGCACAAACCCCCUAAGUAUAAAACCUCCUGUUCUUCUCUUUAACUUUGUCAGAUCUUCCUGCUCCUUUUGGGGGAAGGAACAUCUGUCGCUUUUCAGCUGAAUUGUAGUCAUUUGACUGUCUGUGCUUACGACUUGUGCUGAUGAUUUCUGUAUUCUUUAUCCUUUUCCUAUAUUCUAGUUAGUAAUAAAUACUUAAUCACAAAGCAAGCUCAAGAUACUUUUGAUUUCUCACAUGGGCUAAAUCCACAAAUUUCCACCACAGUCAGCAGGAGCAGUUUAUGCAGUUUUCUAAAACAUUGUCGGCCUUAAGCGUCCCUAAGCACCCUCAGUUUCAAUCUAGGGGUGCAUUCAUCUGUAGGCAGUGGCAACAGCCAGGCCAUUUCGCUAGGGACUGUGAGAAUGGCAGCCCCCCAAUCUGUACAAUUCCACCCUUCUGGACGGGAUGGGCCAAGGUUCUCGCAGCCGCCGUCGGAAAACUAACACCCUCUGACGGGCAGAGCCGGCAAUCAGAAGGGGUCAUGUUAGGCUCGGAUAGCAUAGUUCAGAUCGACCCUGAAUCAAUCUCUAAGUUGGUACAUCCUUGCCCCCAUGUUGUUGUCCAUAUCGCGGGGGUGGGAGUUUCCUGGUUGUUAGACACUGGAUCAAUGGUAUCCACCAUAACUGAAAGCUUCUUUAUUCAGCAUUUCCAGUCGUGGGGUCAGGAGAGGCUGCAGUCAUGCAGAUGGUUGCAGCUCAGAGCAGCUAACCAUCUAGACAUCCCCUAUGUUGGUUACUUAGAGUUAGACGUCACAGUGCUUGGCAAGGUGAUUCCAAAAUGUGGCAUUCUCAUUGUUAAGGACCCCUGCAAUCCUUACCCAAACCAGAUUACCCAGGUGUCCUGGGAAUGAAUGUUAUUGGUCAGUGUUUCGAAGAACUGUUUGGCCAACACGGAUUGGGCAUGUUUGACCUAUUAAGGAUGCGAAUAGCACCAGGCCUUGCAGUACUGUCAUCAAGGGCACCUCACACCACAGGCUGAGAAAGUAGGGGCAGUCAGAGUUAGAGGUAAGGCCAGAGUUUGUGUCCCGGCUGCCACCAUGAAACUAGUGGCAACCACUUGCUCCCAGGGAGUCUUUAAUCUUCGUGGCUCUGUACUAUUCCAACCCCCCUGAGAAUAGCAACCUCACCGGUGGCUUAUUGUUGGCACCAGCUAUCGUAAAGGUCGCACAAGGCACAGUGUACAUCCCGUUUGUUAAUGUAGGCACUGU
ensembl:lncRNA